rnacentral:rRNA from 1 species
AUACGGAGGAUGCGAGCGUUAUCCGGAUUUAUUGGGUUUAAAGGGAGCGUAGGUGGACAUGUAAGUCAGUUGUGAAAGUUUGGGGCUCAACCUUAAAAUUGCAGUUGAUACUGGUUUCCUUGAGUACGGUACAGGUGGGCGGAAUUCGUGGUGUAGCGGUGAAAUGCUUAGAUAUCACGAAGAACUCCGAUCGCGAAGGCAGCUCACCGGGCCGGAACUGACACUGAAGCACGAAAGCGUGGGUAUCAAACAGGAUUAGAUACCCUGGUAGUCCACGCAGUAAACGAUGAUUACUAGCUGUUUGCGAUAUACAGUAAGUGGCACAGCGAAAGCGUUAAGUAAUCCACCUGGGGAGUACGCCGGCAACGGUGAAACUCAAAGGAAUUGGCGGGG